GGAACGCGCGGACGGGCGCGCCGCCCGGAGCGUUCCAUCCAGCCCCCUCCUCCACCCUCUCUCCUGUCCCGUCCCGGGCGACUACUCGCCCGCCCCCUGGCUCGCAUCCUACCCCCCUCACAUACCCCCUACCCUGCCAGCCUCAGGCCGGGUGCAGGCGGAACGAUCUCGCUGCAGCCUCUUCGCCAUCCCAUACGGAGGGGGAGCAAGCCCCCUACCCGCCGGGCGUGCACCCCCGGCUCCGCACUCGCCCGUGUCUGCAAGCACGUGCACCAUUCGCCGCUGCCUCCGGCCACCCCGGUCCCCGGCUAACCUCGCCUGCAGCCCGGCCAAUCGCUUGGUGCCCUUUGUUGCUGCAGACCGGGUCUCCCCGCUGCCUUCCUCAGCCUCCGCCUCGUCCUUUGCCAGCCGCCCGGGUCCGCAGCGCCGCGCUCCCCCCGCCCGGGACCCACCGCCGCCGCCUCCUUCUCCUCCUCCGCCUCCUCCUCCUCGGCUCCGGGCUGCAGCGCACAGAGCCCGAGGCAGCGCCGCCCAGCCCCGCUCCCCCCGCGCCGCCCGCUAGCCCGCCUGGCCCGGCCGGGGGCGCAGCCCGGACCCCGCCCGCCCCAGUCUCCGCCCCGGGGGUACCUGCCUCCGCCCCGGGGGGCUCCGCUCACCGCCCUCGGGGGAGGGCGGAGAUGCCGGUGUCCGAGAGGAUGGGGAUGCCUAGGCCGUUUUGGGGCGGGGAGUGUGUCCGCCAGGUCUGGGACUGAGGUACUUUGUUAGAACCAACAACCUCGGUUCCUAUCUCAGACACAGCAGCAGCAUCCCUGCGCAUGCAGACAAAAAUACACAAAGGCUACUAUGGUAUGCAAGCUCCCCUGCUUCUGUGUUUGGCAGCAAGGUGAAGAAGAAGCCAAGACAAAGGGCAGAGCAUGGACUUCACUGCAUCUCUCUCUGGUUGACCUCCAAUUCCAAAAUCUGCCUGCUUCAGCCUCCAGGAACUGAGAUAACACCAGCCUGCUCAUCCCUUACUCUAUGGAGGUGCCCUGAAGCAAUUCCUACAUGAUUCUUACACAUGCCACAUUUAGAAUCAUCUGAGGAGUGUUAGCCCAACCUUUGCCCUAAGUCUCUCCUGAAGCUAAGUAAAUCUGGAGAAUGGAGCGUAAAAGGGUGAAGUUCGGUGAAGAAGCUGCUGACCUGAAUGACGAGAUGCUUGGCUGCACGGGUGUCCUGUGGCUGAGGAGGGAAGCUUAGAGCCUGUGUCAUCAACUCUGUGAAAACAUGGGACACUGCCAGACAUAGAUGCACAUUGUCUGAGAAGGCUGGCCUCUAACUCAACGAUUGUGUAGACAACAGAAUAUCCAUAUCUAGAUUAUAUGUGUAAAGAACUUAUAAAAAUCAGUUAUGUUUUGUUUCUUGGUUUGUUUGGCUUUUUUCCGAUUGGUGUUAAUACUAUAGCCCAAAAAAAAAAAAAAAAAAAAAAAUACUAUAGCCCAGACUGAUCUCCAACACAAGGCAAUCUUCUUGCCUUAGAUUUCCCAGUUUGGAAAUUAUAAACAUGAACUACCAACACCAAUUUAAAAAAACUUUCUUAGGGAGAGGAAGAAUGGGCUAGGGAGUUGCCAGAGGGGAAACUGAGAAAGGGGAUAACAUUUGAAAUGUAAAUAAAGAAAAUAUCCAAUAAAAGAGAAAAAAAAGGCAAAA
ensembl:lncRNA